rnacentral:rRNA from 1 species
GGUGAACGCUGGCGGCGUGCCUAAUACAUGCCAGUCGAGCGAACAGACGAGGAGCUUGCUCCUCUGACGUUAGCGGCGGACGGGUGAGUAACACGUGGAUAACCUACCUAUAAGACUGGGAUAACUUCGGGAAACCGGAGCUAAUACCGGAUAAUAUAUUGAACCGCAUGGUUCAAUAGCGAAAGACGGUUUUGCUGUCACUUAUAGAUGGAUCCGCGCCGCAUUAGCUAGUUGGUAAGGUAACGGCUUACCAAGGCAACGAUGCGUAGCCGACCUGAGAGGGUGAUCGGCCACACUGGAACUGAGACACGGUCCAGACUCCUACGGGAGGCAGCAGUAGGGAAUCUUCCGCAAUGGGCGAAAGCCUGACGGAGCAACGCCGCGUGAGUGAUGAAGGUCUUCGGAUCGUAAAACUCUGUUAUUAGGGAAGAACAAAUGUGUAAGUAACUAUGCACGUCUUGACGGUACCUAAUCAGAAAGCCACGGCUAACUACGUG